AUGACCGGGAGGGGUGGAGGUACUGGUUUCCUUAUGUCAAAAAAAUGGAAAUUUGAUCUUCAACCAUCUCUUACAGGUAACGGUUUAUUUGAAUCACAUGCAAUUACUAUAACCCACCCUGUUAACAUCCACUUUGUGGUCGUUUAUCGUCCCCCAGGUCAACUGGGAAACUUCUUGGAGGAGUUGGAUGUGUUACUAUCAAACUUUCCUGAGGAUGGUACUCCUCUGGUACUGCUUGGUGACUUCAACAUCCUCCUAGAUAAACCCCAGGCUGCUGAUUUCAACACUCUCCUCGCCUCAUUUGAUCUCAAGCGAGUGUCUACUACAGCGACUCACAAAUCAGAUAACCAACUGGACCUCAUCUACACGCGCUGUUGCUCCAUGGACAACACUUUAGUUGCUCCACUGCACACCUCAGACCACUUCCUCAUAACUGCUAACCUCGCACUUACUCCUGAAGCGGCACAUGCUCCUCCACAGGUCACCUUUCAAUGGAACCUACACUCACUCUCUCCAUCUCGCCUGUCCUCUUUGGUUUCAUCCUCACUUCCUUCACUCGCUCAGUUUUCAGCUCUGGACACGAACAGUGCUACUGACACUCUUUGCUCCACUCUGACCUCUUGCUUGUACAACUUUUGCCCACUGUCGUCUAGACCAGCACGCACCACCCCAUCUGCCCCCUGGCUGUCCGAUGUUCUCCGUGAACAUCACUCUAAACUCAGGGCUGCAGAGAGAAAAUGGCAUAAAUCAAGAAAGUCUACCGACCUCAGUGUGUAUCAGUCUCUCCUCUCUUCCUUCUCUGCAAAUGUCUUCACUGGUAAAACAUCAUACUACCACAACAAAAUUAACAACUGUUCUGACUCUUGCACACUUUUCAAAACUUUCUCUUCUCUUCUUAGUCCGCCUCCACCUCCUCCUUCAUCGACUCUUACAGCCGACGACUUUGCAGUUUUCUGCACAAAUAAGACAAGAGCGAUCAGUGACCAAUUCUCCACACCGGAGACGGAUGAUAACUUCAUAAUGACUAAUACACACCUCCUUCUCUCCACUCUCAGAGAUGGACGUUUCCAAACUUAUCCUGUCCAGUCAUCCUACUACUUGUUGACUUGA
rnacentral:lncRNA from 1 species